rnacentral:rRNA from 1 species
UGCAGUCGAACGAUGAUGCCCAGCUUGCUGGGUGGAUUAGUGGCGAACGGGUGAGUAACACGUGAGUAACCUGCCCCUGACUCUGGGAUAAGCGUUGGAAACGACGUCUAAUACUGGAUAUGACUGCCGGCCGCAUGGUCUGGUGGUGGAAAGAUUUUUUGGUUGGGGAUGGACUCGCGGCCUAUCAGCUUGUUGGUGAGGUAAUGGCUCACCAAGGCGACGACGGGUAGCCGGCCUGAGAGGGUGACCGGCCACACUGGGACUGAGACACGGCCCAGACUCCUACGGGAGGCAGCAGUGGGGAAUAUUGCACAAUGGGCGAAAGCCUGAUGCAGCAACGCCGCGUGAGGGAUGACGGCCUUCGGGUUGUAAACCUCUUUUAGUAGGGAAGAAGGGAGCUUGCUCUUGACGGUACCUGCAGAAAAAGCACCGGCUAACUACGUGCCAGCAGCCGCGGUAAUACGUAGGGUGCAAGCGUUGUCCGGAAUUAUUGGGCGUAAAGAGCUCGUAGGCGGUUUGUCGCGUCUGCUGUGAAAUCCCGAGGCUCAACCUCGGGCUUGCAGUGGGUACGGGCAGACUAGAGUGCGGUAGGGGAGAUUGGAAUUCCUGGUGUAGCGGUGGAAUGCGCAGAUAUCAGGAGGAACACCGAUGGCGAAGGCAGAUCUCUGGGCCGUAACUGACGCUGAGGAGCGAAAGCAUGGGGAGCGAACAGGAUUAGAUACCCUGGUAGUCCAUGCCGUAAACGUUGGGCGCUAGAUGUAGGGACCUUUCCACGGUUUCUGUGUCGUAGCUAACGCAUUAAGCGCCCCGCCUGGGGAGUACGGCCGCAAGGCUAAAACUCAAAGGAAUUGACGGGGGCCCGCACAAGCGGCGGAGCAUGCGGAUUAAUUCGAUGCAACGCGAAGAACCUUACCAAGGCUUGACAUACACCGGAAACGGCCAGAGAUGGUCGCCCCCUUGUGGUCGGUGUACAGGUGGUGCAUGGUUGUCGUCAGCUCGUGUCGUGAGAUGUUGGGGUUAA